AUAGUAAAUUGUUGUUGUUAUGAGACGUCGUCGCAGGAUAAGAGGUCAAAGGCUAGAGGUCGCAGGGUGUGGCGAUGACAUCAUCGAUACGCAAGUAUGCAACAAAUAGACGCA